UUGUCUUUGUAACAUUACGUUUUUAAGAGUUUCAUAAUUUCUGAGGCCCCUAACGUUAAAUGUUUGAACUUUCUGCAGCAUAUUACGCAUACAUAACAGUUCUAGCUUGCAGGCUACUGUGUCGUAGACUGUGCCGAUGUACCAGACCUCUGCUAUGAUGGAUAUUUGUAUAUCAGCAUUACUUUUUUUAGGUCUAGUAAUUGUUGGUUAAAUUUGAUUGAACACUUAAGCCUAUACUGUACUCAGUGCCGCCCUACGUAUGACAUGGAGAAAAUUCGAAAGUGAAAGUAGGAAUCGUGUACAAGUUAAAUUACCAUCUCGAAGUUGAAGUAAAACACGCAAUGUGACCGAUGUUUUCCCAGAUCCUAACAGUUCAUCUUAAUUGGUUUCAUCAUUGACGAGAAAAAACUAUUUAAUAUUUUUUUAUUGUAUUUUAAACAGCUGAAACUCGGUGCCAUACCUGCCUCGCACUUCUGAAAUGGAUCAAGUCGGACUAGCUUCCUAAAUUAUAUAAUGCCAGUGGAACACAAAACAGAAAAGAUACUAGUAUGCAAGACAUGCAUGGAGAAAAGAGCCGACUACAGCCUCUAUAUACCAUUCCUUGGCGCCUCCUUGAAUUGAUGUUUUUCAGGAAUGCAGGAUAACCAGGAAUAAAGGUUUACUCUGUAUAAAGUCUUGCUGUCAUGAACAUGAUAAUCACAAGAAAGUGAAUAUAUUUCAUCAUCUUGAGCGACCUUCAAAAUACCAGAUUGGAAAAAAGAAAGAAGAUUUGUAGCAUUGUAUUGAAGAUGCCUGAUUAAAAGUAUUAAUGGAUGAAUUGGUGUUUUUCUCUUUUCUUCAGAAAAUUUGAAAUCAAAGGCAAUGCUCAGAAAUUGAGGGAUUUUGUUGAAAGAGCUGAUGGGUCCCUUUACCCUUUUGGAUAUUCAAAUUGAAAAGAAAGUGACCCCAGGGAUGAAGUCAACAUCAAGCUUAGCUUUCUGCAGUGCUUAAAGGAAAAGUGCAAAAUUGAUGAGCUUCUGGUGUACCUUUAGAGAAAUAAUUAUGAUUACAUGUAGUAUCAUUAAAGCUUCUGCUAUGAGGCAAUAACAUGUAUUUGUCUGGAAGAAUAACAAGGAAAAUUCCAAAAAUAUGCACACAAUUUUUAUGCAUUUUAACGUUAAAUAAGUGUGAACUAAUUAACGUUAAUUUAACGCUUAAUGUUAAUUUAACAUGAA